rnacentral:rRNA from 1 species
GCAGUCGAACGGACUCAUAUUGAAACCUAGUGAUUUAUGAGUUAGUGGCGCACGGGUGAGUAACGCGUGGAUAACCUGCCGUAUACCGGGGGAUAACACUUGGAAAUAGGUGCUAAUACCGCAUAAGCGCACGGCUCCGCAUGGGGCAGUGUGAAAAACUCCGGUGGUAUACGAUGGAUCCGCGUCUGAUUAGCUAGUUGGCGGGGUAACGGCCCACCAAGGCAGCGAUCAGUAGCCGGCCUGAGAGGGUGGACGGCCACAUUGGGACUGAGACACGGCCCAAACUCCUACGGGAGGCAGCAGUGGGGAAUAUUGCACAAUGGGGGAAACCCUGAUGCAGCGACGCCGCGUGAGUGAAGAAGUAUCUCGGUACGUAAAGCUCUAUCAGCAGGGAAGAAAAUGACGGUACCUGACUAAGAAGCCCCGGCUAACUACGUGCCAGCAGCCGCGGUAAUACGUAGGGGGCAAGCGUUAUCCGGAUUUACUGGGUGUAAAGGGAGCGUAGACGGCAGCACAAGUCUGGAGUGAAAUCCCGGGGCUUAACCCCGGAACUGCUUUGGAAACUGUGCGGCUGGAGUGCAGGAGGGGUAAGCGGAAUUCCUAGUGUAGCGGUGAAAUGCGUAGAUAUUAGGAGGAACACCGGUGGCGAAGGCGGCUUACUGGACUGUAACUGACGUUGAGGCUCGAAAGCGUGGGGAGCAAACAGGAUUAGAUACCCUGGUAGUCCACGCCGUAAACGAUGAUUACUAGGUGUCGGGGGAUCAAGGUCCUCCGGUGCCGGCGCAAACGCAUUAAGUAAUCCACCUGGGGAGUACGUUCGCAAGAA